AAUGUUAAAAAUUUAAAUGAACUCUUAUCCUGCCUCCUUUUCUUACCCUGUCUUUUCAUUUCUUUCUAGAUCUAAGUCAUAGAAAAAUCAAAGUGAUGCGUGCCACUGGUUUGGAUCAUAUGCACACAAUUCAAAAAGAAAAAGGUGACUUUUAAAAAUUUCCCACCAGCAAGUGGGAGAGGUGUAGGCAAGUGUGGAUUUAAGCACAAAAUGGAAAAUCCAAGCACAAGAAAAGACCUGUUAUCAUCAUAUAAAGAUGUCCAUAUGCAAUAAUUACUGGUCAGACCAUCCACACGCUACAUUACUUAAUGACAUCCAAAGAUUGCUGCACUUUCUGAACCAAUAGCAGCUAUACAGUGACCAGCGUCGUUUCUGAAUGGAAAAAUUGGCCCAACCACUGGUGAAUGGCACGCAGUAGGUUUCCCAUUGAACUACACAGCACAACAAUGAUCCACAUUGGUAAAUCAUUCUGUGUGCUUUUCAGUUCUUAUGCAUAUCCUAUACUGGACAGCUUCCAUUCAUUCUGACACCCAAGGCAAACAAAUGAAGAGAAAUCUGAUCCUGAGUGAGGGGAGCAGAACAUUUGAAGCAUGCACUUUGAGUUCCUUGCAAAAAAAAGAAAUGGACUUUCCCACAAGAUUAAGAAAUGGAGAGGAGCAUACAAUAUGUGGGAGAACUCAAAUGCUCUUAGAUUUAGGAAGUGAAGUGUGUGCGGCUUGAGAAAGGUAGGAGAGUUGAAUGCUACACCAGAAGAACGUAAGAACAUAUGAAUGGCCAUACUGCGUCAGACCAACGGUCCAUCUCGCCCACUAUCCUGUCUUCCACAACAGUAGCUAGCGCCAGAAGCUUCAAAAGGAAUGAACAGAACUGGGCAACUUUCAAAUGAUCCAUCUGUCAUCCAGUCUCAGGCCUUGGUUACACUUGCGAGUUGCAGCGCUGUAAAGCCGCCCCCAGCGCUGUAACUCACUCCCCGUCCACACUGGCGAGGCAUUUGCAGAGCUGUAUCUCCUUGGUUGCAGUGU
rnacentral:lncRNA from 1 species